rnacentral:rRNA from 1 species
GACGAACGCUGGCGGCGUGCUUAACACAUGCAAGUCGAACGGAAAGGCCUUGCUUUUGUGGGGUGCUCGAGUGGCGAACGGGUGAGUAACACGUGAGUAACCUGCCCUUGACUUUGGGAUAACUUCAGGAAACUGGGGCUAAUACCGGAUAGGAGCUCCUGCUGCAUGGUGGGGGUUGGAAAGUUUCGGCGGUUGGGGAUGGACUCGCGGCUUAUCAGCUUGUUGGUGGGGUAGUGGCUUACCAAGGCUUUGACGGGUAGCCGGCCUGAGAGGGUGACCGGCCACAUUGGGACUGAGAUACGGCCCAGACUCCUACGGGAGGCAGCAGUGGGGAAUAUUGCACAAUGGGCGGAAGCCUGAUGCAGCAACGCCGCGUGCGGGAUGACGGCCUUCGGGUUGUAAACCGCUGUCGCCUGUGACGAAGCGUGAGUGACGGUAAUGGGUAAAGAAGCACCGGCUAACUACGUG